UAUAUACUAUGUGAUCUAACUUGUGCAUGUUAAAUCGCAGUUUUAAUAUCGAACAAUUAACGGUUAUUGCAUAUUUGAAAUACAAUUGGAUUUUAUAGUAUAAAUUUAGUAGUUACAUUUAUAAUUUUUAUUAGAAAGUAAAGUUAUCUCAUACUUAUAUUUUCAUUAAAAAUAAUUAAAAUUGUGAAUUAAAAUUUUAUAUUUACGUAAAAUAUAAUUAUAAGAAUUAUAUUAUAAUUAUUAUAUUUAUAAUGGCAUUUUCUCGUAUACCUCGUCGUGAAGGUUAUAUAGUUGCAAUAUUUGGUGCUAUCACUGGUUAUUAUAUUUGGAACCAGCCAUUGAAACAAUUUGCUGAAAAGAAUUUUUCCAAUACAGACUUAAAUAAAGAUAUGUACCAUGAUCAAAAAUAAAUUUUUUAUUUUGCAUCCUAUAAUCAAAAUAAGUUGUAUAACAGUUGGUAUUCUAGGUUGUUUUGCUACUUAUAAAUUUUAUUUCAAACAAUAUGUUGAUUUUGUUGCAAAAAAGCAAGCUGAAGAAGAAGCAAAUAUAUUAUAUGAAAAA